AAAAUAGCUCGGCUCCUUGACUACAACAAAGAAGAGGCCUCGUUCAGAGAGUAAUGAUGAUAGCACUCCAACAGCUAAAUGUGUGAAUAAAUCAGAGGAUGGCCUCAACGACACUCCCGGUUCGCUGCCGCCAAACAAAGAAACAUCAACCAAUGAAACAGAUCACAGUUCCAGCAAAGAAAUAAUAUCUCAGCCUGUUGCCCGCAGAGCUUUACUCUUUAAAGACUAAAUGCACGGAUCACAUGGUGCGUAGACAGGACUAAUGUUGCUCAAAUGUGAGCAUACGUGCACGUGUUCAAGGAGUUUUGCCCUCUGUCUAUGCCUCAAGUCUCAAUGAUGGCUCUCCAUAUUAUCGCUACCAUGUCUUAUUUGUUUUGUUUGCUCAGCAAAUGUUUUGUUGUACAAGAAUUAGACGACACUGGACCUGUAUAAUUAUGUCCUACUCAUGCAGUUUAUUAUGUAAGUUUCGAAUGAUGUUAUCUGUUUCUAUUAAUAUCAUAUCAUGUAUUGGAAACUCUUCUCUAAAGUAGUCCUGCUCUAUGUGAACUUUUAAAUGUUUCAGAGUUUUUGUGUUAAUCCUUGCAGUGUUCCAGUGGUUCUAUAAAUAUGCUAUAUGUAGGUGCACCCAUCACUUCCCGCCUGCUAAAGUUAUCUUUUACUAACUUUUUGCUUCUUGCUUCAUUUCUUAGUGUUGUGUAGUCAGCUGUAUUCCAUAAAGAAUUAUUUCAUAUUCUGACAGUACUCCUAUUCAAAUUCCAGCGUUUGCCCAUUUGACCAUUUUUAUAAUGACUUUCUAACAAUUUAAAUGUAUUAAUAUUGUACUCACAAAUUAUUUGUAUCUGGCCCAACAAAAACACAUAUUCCCUGUCCACAAAAAAUAGUAAACGCAUCUGCUUUUGGAUAAUGGCACCGUUAUCUAUAAAACCAAAAUUGAAUAGCACUAUUCAUACAUGCUACUGUGAAAUGUUCUACCUUUUAGAGUUUUAAACGCUUGCUAAAGAAAAAUGAGUGCCGCCUAUUUUUUUUCCCGGCCUGCCUUCUCGUGCUUCUUUUCUUCGCUAAGUCCAUUGCUUCAGAGUAUCCCUUUUCUCCUAUGGGCCAUCCGCCUUCUCAGGGCCGAGACGCUGGCCCUUUCCAUCACACGCACCAACCAUUCGUAUUGUCCAUGUAUUCAAGUUCAUAGGCAUAUAUAUUGACAUACCAUGUAUAGUUUUUUUGCAUACAAUGAACUACCACUUUGUUUCAACAAAUUUAUCUUACGUAUUUGUCCUACUUCAUACUAAUUAAUUGCUUGGAAUUUAUAAACGCUUACAGAAUAUGAUGCCCUAUUCCUAAAAAAGCAAAAAAAAAUUCAGAUACUCCUAUUUUCCCACCUUCUUACACACAUCGAACUCCAUGGAAAUUGGCCUUCAUAAAAAUCACAUUCUUAUUUUCCUUUA